GGUCCCAGAAUCACUCUUUCAGCUGCCUCGCUCCGCUCUUUCCCUCUCCUCCAUCUCUCCUUUCUUGCCCUAACUGAUAGGGUUUCCAUGUCCGUAUAGCUCCAACCUCUCAUGCAUCAGUGCCUUCAACCUUUACUGAUCGUUGUUGCAGCCUUAAUCAUUUCUGGGUCUCUCUCUUUCGAGGGUUUUUUGGCAGAAAGCUUUGCACUUUCAGCCUCCCGGAGGUUUUUGAGUUGCACCCAUGUCAAAGCUACUUGGUUUCUCCGAGACAUCCCAACUUUUGUCUGGGUUCAACUUUGUUGAAGGGGAGCAUACUGCUUUUUGAAGGGGUUUGGGUUCUUGGCUUAUGAUUUGGUUUCGUAUUGCUUGAUGAUUGUUUAACGUGCAGAUUUUUUUAGCUUGGAUUCUUUCGUAUGUCUACAUUAUGGAACCAUCCUCACAUUCGGUUUGCUAUUCAUCUGUUAUCCUUCACUGUUUUCAUUGAAAGUUUGUCUUUGGUUUACGCUUCUUUGCUUCAUUGUCUUCUGGCACUGGUUUUACGCAUCUUGGCUUGGUUUAUGUACAAAUACUGCAGCCAGAUGUACGAAUGAUGGGAUUCACUACUAUUUGACAGAUGCUGAAGUUUGUUUGGCGACUUUAAAAUUAAGGAAUUUUCCUUGGAUAAGAUCCGACAUUUUCAUUUCAGAUGCAGUUGUCUUUAAACACAGUUACAAAGGAGGGCACUAUGUGGUUUGAUCUCAAGAGGGAGUAUGAUGCUUCUUUUGUUGUGAUUAGUUUUUUCUUUAAAGCGCUGUUAGAUGUGAUUCUAAAUGUAUGCAGUGAAUGGUGGAUCCUUAUUUCAUUGGAUCCUAGAGGAGUAUGGGUUGCUUCUAAAAUGGAGCCUUAUUU